UACGAACUGUGCGAACGUUAUUCGGAAUCACUGGGGCUUAAAGGGUGCGUAGGCGGCUGCCUAAGUCAGGUGUGAAAUCUCCCGGCUCAACCGGGAAACUGCGCUUGAUACUGGGCGGCUCGAGUGAGGUAGGGGUGUGUGGAACUUCCGGUGGAGCGGUGAAAUGUGUAGAUAUCGGAAGGAACGCCAGCAGCGAAAGCGGCACACUGGGCCUUUUCUGACGCUGAGGCACGAAAGCCAGGGGAGCGAACGGG
rnacentral:rRNA from 1 species